rnacentral:rRNA from 1 species
ACGGGUGAGUAACGCGUAUGCAACCUACCUAUCGAGAGGGGAAGUAACCCGGCGAAAGUCGGACUAAUACCGCAUAAAACAGGGGCACCGCAUGGUGAUAUUUGUUAAAGAAAUUCGCUGAUAGAUGGGCAUGCGUUCCAUUAGGUAGUGGUGAGGUAACGGCUCACCAAGCCGACGAUGGAUAGGGGAACUGAGAGGUUGGUCCCCCACACUGGACUGAGACACGGACCAGACUCCUACGGGAGGCAGCAGUGAGGAAUAUUGGUCAAUGGGCGGGAGCCUGAACCAGCCAAGUCGCGUGAAAGGAAGAAGGAUCUAUGGUUCGUAAACUUCUUUUGCAGGGGAAUAAAGUGCAGGACGUGUCCUGUUUUGUAUGUACCCUGAGAAUAAGGAUCGGCUAACUCCGUGCCAGCCGCAGC